rnacentral:rRNA from 1 species
UACGUAGGGGGCGAGCGUUGUUCGGAAUUACUGGGCGUAAAGUGCGCGUAGGCGGUUUUACAAGCCAGAGGUGAAAUGCCUGAGCUUAACUUGGGAAUUGCCUUUGGAACUGUAUGGCUUUGAGGACGAGAGAGGUGAGUGGAAUUCCCAGUGUAGAGGUGAAAUUCGUAGAUAUUGGGAAGAACACCGGUGGCGAAGGCGGCUCACUGGCUCGUUUCUGGCGCUGUAGCGCGAAAGCGUGGGGAUCAAACAGG